rnacentral:rRNA from 1 species
CAGUAGCCGCGGGAAUACGUAGGGUGCGAGCGUUAACCGGAAUUACUGGGCGUAAAGCGUGCGCAGGCGGUUGUGUAAGACAGGUGUGAAAUCCCCGGGCUUAACCUGGGAACUGCGCUUGUGACUGCACAGCUAGAGUAUGGCAGAGGGGGGUGGAAUUCCACGUGUAGCAGUGAAAUGCGUAGAGAUAUGGAGGAACACCGAUGGCGAAGGCAGCCCCCUGGGCCAAUACUGACGCUCAUGCACGAAAGCGUGGGGAGCAAACAGGAUUAGAUACCCCUGUAGUCCCUGUCUCUUAUAC